AUACGAAGGGGGCUAGCAUUGCUCGGAAUUACUGGGCGUAAAGCGCACGUAGGCGGGUGAUUAAGUCAGAGGUGAAAGCCUGGAGCUCAACUCCAGAACUGCCUUUGAUACUGGCAAGCUCGAGGAUAGCAGAGGUUGGUGGAACUCCGAGUGUAGAGGUGAAAUUCGUAGAUAUUCGGAAGAACACCAGUGGCGAAGGCGGCCAACUGGGCUAUUACUGACGCUGAGGUGCGAAAGCGUGGGGAGC
rnacentral:rRNA from 1 species